rnacentral:tRNA from 1 species
CCCACAUGGCGAGGCCGUGCGCCGCGAGGAUGGGCGCUUCGAGGGCGAGCAGGGCGCGCCCGAGCGGGCCGAUCAUCGCCGCCAGGUCGGGCC